GACGAACGCUGGCGGCGUGCUUAACACAUGCAAGUCGAACGGAAAGGCCCUGCUUUUGUGGGGUGAUCGAGUGGCGAACGGGUGCGUAACACGUGAGUAACCUGCCCUUGACUUUGGGAUAACUUCAGGAAACUGGGGCUAAUACCGGAUAGGAGCUCCUGCUGCAUGGUGAGGGUUGGAACGUUUCGGCGGGUGGGGAUGGACUCGCGGCUUAUCAGCUUGUUGGUGGGGUGGUGGCUUACCAAGGCUUUGACGGGUAGCCGGCCUGAGAGGGUGACCGGCCACAUUGGGACUGAGAUACGGCCCAGACUCCUACGGGAGGCAGCAGUGGGGAAGAUUGCACAAUGGGCGGAAGCCUGAUGCAGCAACGCCGCGUGCGGGAUGACGGCCUUCGGGUGGUAAACCGCCUUCGCCUGUGACGAAGCGUGAGUGACGGUAAUGGGUAAAGAAGCACCGGCUAACUACGUG
rnacentral:rRNA from 1 species